GAUGUGUUUGUCUUGAUUAGUGGAAUGAUGAUCUAUAUUCUGAGUUAAUUUUUCUUAGUUGUGUAGAUGCGUAUAUUUCAUAAGGUACAAAGAUGAGUUUUUCAUUGAAU
ensembl:miRNA gga-mir-6670 gga-mir-6670